rnacentral:rRNA from 1 species
CAACUCUCAACAACGGAUAUCUUGGCUCUCGCAACGAUGAAGAACGCAGCGAAAUGCGAUACGUAGUGUGAAUUGCAGAAUCCCGUGAACCAUCGAAUCUUUGAACGCAUAUUGCGCUCGAGCCUUCGGGCAAGAGCAUGUCUGUCUCAGCGUC